UGACAGAGUGACGGUUACUAAUUAGGAGCUCACUUUACACCGGUUACACUUAAAAACGUGUAAAGUUAUACAUUUCAUUGGUAGCCGAGAACUCGGAAAGUGGACGGGAAACCCACAGACAUUAGCAAGUAGUAAGAAGUUUCCCUGAGGUUUUCAACAAAAAGAAGAAGAAAAAUCAAAUAACGAAGAACUAGACAAAAUGACUUCAAAUUCACCACAACAUCGACAACCUUCAUUACGAGCUCUACUCCAGGAUGACUCUAUAAGCGAGGAGCAGGGCUUCUCUGCAGCAGUGGUAACGUUAGAAACCAAACAAGAGCUAAAGGAGAUACUCGUGGAGAAGUGUGAUGGGGCGUUAACUCCCCUUUGUGGCGAGACAAAGGAUUGCAACACAGACCAUGAGGCCUUCGAUUUCUCAUCAAUCAGAGCAUCGGCCGCCAAUAUCUUGCCCAUUAGGAGCCAGCUACUCUACCUGAUGGGGAGAGCCGAUGAUUUACAGAACCAACUUGCUCACACGCAGGACCAACUAGAGAGGGAGCACCUCAGCACCCUGGUGUCCACACUCCUGUCCAGCUCCAGGCCACUCUUCACUUACCUGGAGUCCAGAGCCCGGAGCAGGCUGACCCAGCAGCCGGCAGGCCCACCCCCCACCACCAGCUCC